CGCUCUGUGAUUACAUGCCUGAUUUACGGGCAAUAUACGCUAUUCCGACUGUAGUACAUGAUUGGACACUUGUUUUACGUAUGAGAGCU